GAGGGGCAGCGGGGAGGAAGCUUGCUUUCUCCGCCGGCGACCGGCGCACGGGUGAGUAACACGUAUGCAACCUGCCCCUGUCAGGGGGACAACCCGCCGAAAGGCGGGCUAAACCCGCGUACAUGCCACCGGGGCAUCCCGGAGGCAGGAAAGGCUUCGGCCGGACAGGGAUGGGCAUGCGGCGCAUUAGGCAGUAGGCGGGGUAACGGCCCACCUAACCGACGAUGCGUAGGGGUUCUGAGAGGAAGGUCCCCCACACUGGUACUGAGACACGGACCAGACUCCUACGGGAGGCAGCAGUGAGGAAUAUUGGUCAAUGGUCGGGAGACUGAACCAGCCAAGCCGCGUGAGGGAGGAAGGUACAGAGUAUCGUAAACCUCUUUUGUCAGGGAACAAAGGCGGGGACGUGUCCCCGGAUGAGUGUACCUGAAGAAAAAGCAUCGGCUAACUCCGUGCCAGCAGCCGCGGUAAUACGGAGGAUGCGAGCGUUAUCCGGAUUUAUUGGGUUUAAAGGGUGCGCAGGCGGUCUGUUAAGUCAGCGGUCAAAGCCCGGGGCUCAACCCCGGCCCGCCGUUGAAACUGGCAGUCUCGAGUUGGAGAGAAGUAUGCGGAAUGCGCGGUGUAGCGGUGAAAUGCAUAGA
rnacentral:rRNA from 1 species